UGCACCAGCAUCUCACAAGAAUUACAGAUGGGAGGUGAGCACAGUCAGGACAGAGAGCUGCUUUCUUCAUAGCAGCUUACCACUUGAUCAGAGGUGCAACGGUGAGGGAAGACAGAGCCGCUUACGUAGACCUGGCUGGAAAGACUCGGGUGUUCACAGAGGAGACCCUCUUCAUGCAGCUGCCUGUGUCUCUCCAUACUGCUGGUAAGGGAAAAGACAGAAGGAUGCAACAGCAGCAGCACCAAGCUGGACGUGUCCUCAAGCCCCUAUAAGACUCAGGUUUUAUGACUAUCUCCAUAGCUGAAAACGUCCUUUCCACUGGCA